GACAAACCUGAUUUGAAGAACAAAAGUAAUAGGUAGAGAAGCGCUACAAACCAAGAAUCCCAAAAGAAUAAAUCUGAAGAUCAAAAC
rnacentral:tRNA from 1 species